UCCCGUGGGAUCGCGGUUGGGUGGGCGGUCUUUGCGAGCUCCUUGUCUCCACUGGUGCCGCGAGAGUCCUCUCUGGGCAGGCGGCGGGCGCGGAGUCGUGGAUUCGGCUUCGUGCGGAUUGCUGGCUUCACCCGGCGUGUGACGAGCCGUGGGAUCCAGCUCUGUGGAAAACACAAAGCAAACCUGGGAGAGUGGUGAACAGAUGGAUGAGGGACAAAAUCAUGUCCGUUACUCAAUCUUGAGAACUGCCCAAGGUGACUCUACUUCUCGCUCUCCUUCAGUAACCUCAAAUCUGAUGUUUGCCCUCCAGAAAAAAGAACAGUCAGAAGAUGAAUGCGUCCAUAUCAGUGGCUGCUCAUGGCCUCCCUUUUGGGGAGGAAGUAAAUGAUAUGUACUGAAAGCCCCAUGGUUACUUUUGGAAUGGUCUACUAGAUUUGACCAGUGCUGGAGAGUAUUCAGUGGAUGAUUUGCAGUUACAUCUGCUAAGAUAGACUGAAAAGUCCUUGCAAGAAAGGUGGUGUGGGGAGACCUUCAAGAUGGCGGAGGAGUAAGAUGUGGAGAUCACCUUCCUCCCUGCAAAUACAUCAGAAAUACAUCUACACGUGGAACAACUCCUACAGAACACCGACU